rnacentral:misc_RNA from 1 species
GAUGAAGAACGUAGCGAAAUGCGAUAAGUAAUGUGAAUUGCAGAAUUCAGUGAAUCAUCGAAUCUUUGAACGCACCUUGCGCCCUUUGGCUAUUCCGAAGGGCAUGCCUGUUUGAGUAUCAUGAAAACCUCAACUCUCAUGGCUUGCCAUGAUGAGCUUGGACUCUGGGGGUCUUGCUGGCUUUACGGUCAGCUCCUCUCAAAUAAAUCAGCUUGCCGGUGUUUGGUGGGAUCACAGGUGUGAUAACUAUCUACGCGUGUGGUUUUCCGCCAGGUAACCUUCAGCAAUGGAGGUUCGCUGGAGCUCAUAAAUGUCUCUCCUCAGCGAGGACAGAUUUUGACCGUUUGAUCUCAAAUCAGGUAGGACUACCCGCUGAACUUAAGCAUAUCAAUAAGCGGAGGA